GAUGAAGAACGCAGCGAAUUGCGAUAAGUAAUGUGAAUUGCAGAUUUUCAGUGAAUCAUCGAAUCUUUGAACGCACCUUGCGCUCCUUGGUAUUCCGAGGGGCAUGCCUGUUCGAGCGUCAUUAUAACCCUCAAGCUCAGCUUGGUGUUGGGGCCUGCUGCACUGGCAGCCCUUAAAAUCAGUGGCGGCGCCAUCUGGCUCUAAGCGUAGUAAUUCUUCUCGCUAUGGAGUCCUGGUGGAUGCUUGCCAUCAACCCCCAAUUUUUCUAUGGUUGACCUCGGAUCAGGUAGGGAUACCCGCUGAACUUAAGCAUAUCAAUAAGCGGAGGA
rnacentral:misc_RNA from 1 species